GCCGCUCAACGCAUCAUCCUCUGCCCCAACUGCGCCCCGCCUCCCUCCCCACCGCCGUGCUCCCCCUCUCCGCACGGACGCCCUCCCCGCCUCCGCUGCCGCCCACGCAACGGACGCCAUCAUGGCAGUCGCCGAUCCGCUCAAGACCCAAAAGCCCGUCGCGAGGACCUAGAAGUCCUCCAUGGAGCUUAAGCCGCUCCCUCCGGGCCUGCCGCACCAAGGAAAAGCGGAUCGAGUGGGGCGCGGAAGGAGCCGAGGUCGGCACGCCGCCGUCGCGUGGGCGUGUCGGCGGCGAACAGGGUGUCCCCAAGAACCGGCCGUGGGUCAAGAAGACGGUGAUGUUCCCAAAUCCCACAUUCGUCGCUCCCACCUCCGUCACCGUGUACGCCUCGCCGUUAGCGACAAAGAAACUAAAGCGGUCCUACAAGACUAGGUCCCCUGUCAGUCAAGGUCGCGCAGACCUCGCACAAGUUCCUGGUGGCAGCAUGAUGAGUGGGCUCAAGCAGCAACCCGGCGUCAGCUUGACGGCGUGGACUAUCAGGAUAUCAUCCUGAUGCGUGCUGAUCAAUUCAAUCGUGGUGAGAAGAUGAGCUCUGCUAUACUCAAAAGUGUGCACCACAAAGAAACGAGAAACUCUGAAACUAUACAUGGGUCAGUGAUCUAUAGAUUUAUCUUUCAAGAAUACCAGCAGUUGGUUUCGUUUCAAACUAAUUAGGUUUGGUCUGGCACAACUAUAUUUCAACGGAGGUAGGUGACACUCAUGAGGCAAGAGCACUUCACAAGGGCUAUUAUAGCAAAGAAAUCGCUGGGUCUGCAAUUCUGGAUCAAAGGACACAGAAAAGAUGAUGGAGUUAGAGCUUCCGUACAGCAGAGUCUUAGGAGUGGUGCGGCGCCAUCCUGUACCACAAAUCAUGCGAAGAAUGAUGGGUGGUGUAAUCCUAUGCUAGCUAGAGUGCUAGACUGAUUUCAGAAACUCUUGGAGCUCAUCUUUUGGCCUGAAACACCAAGAACUAACCUGCCACAGCAGUGACUACUGAUUAAUACAAUGGAGUUCAUUUGAUCCAUCUGAUAAAAUACCUAUUGGGGAAUAAGCGUGAAAAGUAAUCACCCACUCUUUCCGGAGUGGAAUUCAGGUAUGCCUGCUCAUCUAUUUAUUUGACUGUUGUUAUAGAUAGAUUCAUCCGGGUCUGAAAUGUUAAUGGAGUUGUUUCAUUCCUCACACAAUCCCUUUCAAUUGGAUCAGUUCUCCUUUUUGAAUUACUCUAUAUUCCAUACAUAUAUGUUUAUUAUGUUCAUCGAGACUGCAAGACAUUUAUUUUGUUGAUAUUACCUUCAAGGGAACAUGGUACCUACGAUGCAGGAGGACUAUUGGAAAUCAGUUUUAAAUUUAAUCAAGUGUAUACUUCUCUUUUGUCUCUUCCGCAGCCAUGAUGUUAAGAAGUUCAGUGUAGGCAGGAAAAAAAAUCUUGGUAAGCUAUAAUCUUCUGAUCACAGUCUUACUUUUUUUAUUACUCUUGUUAGUGCUUCCGUUACUUUCUACUGAAUAUGUUCAAUGGGCUAGGGAGUGGACCUUCCAUGCAAACUCAAGUGAUAAUAUGUGCAUGUUGUGUUUUUAGUCCUGUAAAUUUAAUAAGCCAACACCUUUCAUUUAAACAAAGUCAAGGUCACACAUCUAUUUUUGACCUAGAGCCAUUUCAUUGCCAAUAAGAGCAGCUUUUGCAUGGUAAUUGAUAGCUCUUCCUCUCAGGUAUGUUCUCUUUUUAGCAUAAUCAUAUCCCAGUGUGUUGUAUAUUCUUUUCUCCAAUGAAGGUCUGUUGCAUGACCAAUUCAUUUCUCCCUUCUAUCUGAUUGCCAGACUGCUGACGACUUUCCGAUAAAUUGUCUGUCUUUUUCGACUGGCCAUUAGUUUCUGAAAUUAAGGUACUGUGAUUUGGGAGGAAUAGAUGUGUACACACUAUUGUUAAUUGCAGGAGGGUGAUUUGUAGUCUAAAGCCUAAAAUCUCUGGAUUGGACGGCGACGGCGCAUCGGCGUCGCUUACUUCUUGAAGACGCCGUGUGUACACACUAUUGUUAAUUGCAGGAGGGUGAUUUGUAGUCUAAAGCCUAAAAUCUCUGGAUUGGACGGCGACGGCGCAUCGGCGUCGCUUACUUCUUGAAGACGCCGCCUUGGGAGCUCUUCGUGGUCAGUUUGGUGCGGUGGUGGUCUGCCAAUCUUCAGUAGUGUCCCUGCUCGGGAGUUGCGGUGGGCUUUUGGGUCUUGGCCAGAGACGGUCGCGAUAUAUGGGUUUCCUACAGAGGCGAGGUCGCCACAGAUGUUGUCCUAUCCCCCGCAACUGGUUGGCAUGUUCAUGCGUGCUCGGGGGUGAGCUGCUCUGCCUGCCGACGGAACGACGUCCUUUGAUCCAGGACGAGAGGGCAGGGGUGCCCUCUCCGGAGGCUGCGACAGGAUAACAGGUUGGCCUUGGGAGGGGCGGAGCGUGGCUUUCUUCCGGCGACGAAUAGCUUCCUUGUCGCAGUUGCGUUGAUGGCAUGAUCUGCGGCCGUCGUGGGCUUCGAGAUCCUACGGAUCCUUCGGAGCUCGUUAGUUGUUCCGUAGUGUUUUGUAUCCGGUCGUGUUUGUCUUUCGUUUCUUAUGGUAUUGCCGUCUGUAAUGUCUGGUUUGCUUUAUUAUUUAUAAAGCGGGGCGAAACCCUUUUUGGGUAAAUAUGAUAGAACGAUGGAUUACAUGGUUGCUUUUCAAACCUAUUCAGGUUGGUGGAAGUCGUGAACUUUAUAUUCAUAUUAGUUCAUGUAUUUGUUUACUGGCGGUAACUAUUUCAUCUGAUGGUAUUGCUAUCGUGUCAUACAGAACAAGUACUCUGAUGAUGGCAAGAAGCAUAAUGUUAAAUGAACUGGGUAAUGUUGAGGUUGAUGAUAGCAUGCUUGUGUAAGUUUUUACAAGCUGUACAUUAUAUGGAUGAGAUCAUGAAUGUGGUAUGAAAAAAUGUCUGUCCAGUGUACAAAGCCAUGAAACUGGAUUCAGAAAUAAGAAAUAGUCGCUUCGACGACGGCGGUGGCGGGCACCGUGGCAUGGACGACGGUGAUCCCCUCGGCGGCGGCGAUCUGCAGCAGGUCAUGCUGGCUCUGCACCAGGCUCGCCGGCAUGAAUUGACCCCCUUCCACCGCCCUACGCCCCACCUGCUCGGCGUUCACCUCCGCUGGCGCCUACUGGCACACGAACUUCACCAGAAUUCACUUGCAGGAGAUUAAUGUGUUUGGGGAACUAUAUAUUGAAAAAGUGUGUAUUUUUGCAAGAGAAUAUAUAAUUGAUGUAACAUAUAUGAAAGAUGGUCUGAUAUUUGGAUUAAAGAGGCAUACUGAUUCAUCUUUAAAAAAAGGCAUACUGGUUCACAAAGAAUAAUAUUUCUAAUUUUCUGGAUGUUUGAUACAAUGUACAUUUGUGUUAGACGUGCGUUGCACAUGCAUGCUUACUAUAGAUUAUCCUAUACAUUUCCUUUAUUAACACAAAUGGCAAUUCUAUAAUCUGUUAGGCAUUACAUCUCUGUUUUGCGCAGGAAACUUCAGAAAUUAGGCUUUUCUUUGUAAAUGUCUUCACGACACUGGGUUGGCUUCUGUUCCGGUGGUCACAGAAUACUCAUGGGAUUUCAUUUGAAUGUUUAUUCUUCAGAUUAUGCUGAACUAAAUAUGAGCUCAGUGUGGUGUUUGGUUUGAAUGGUGAAUUUUGUGCGGUGUUUCUGCAGGAGUUUUUUAAUCUAAAGCAAGGGUGAGCGCCAAGGAAGGAGGCGCCGCCACGGGCGACGGUGGCGGGGUUGGCCGCUGGCGGCUGCAAUAUUUAAUCAUUGUUGUCAACAUUGGCACACAGGAUUUAGUGGAAGGAAGGUUUUGGGCCAUCAGAUUUCCCUGAGAAUCAAGGGAAAGGAAGAGGAAAGGAAAAUGUUGAUACAUGCUCUGUUGCAAGUGUUUAUGUCGCGCAGAAACUUUAAUCUAUUGUGCAGAAUACAUUUCUUCAGAGAAACCGUUGGUCGUGUGCAGAAUAUAUUUCUUCAGAAAAUGUGUUAUUGUGCAGAAACUACAAUGAAGUUGUUGGGGAGAAGAUCCAGUGAACUCGGCUACAUCGGGUUGGGUCAAAGUUACUGGUCCUUCGAACGGUCUAUUGUGCGUCGAAAGUCACGUUCAUCUCUGGCAAAUUCCACCGUAGCCUCGGUCGUACAUGUGCUUCGAUCUAUUUUCGUAUUCUUUUCUUGGGUGUUUGACAAAUGCUUCACAAACUAAGCUCAUGUUAAACAUGCACAACUAUUAAUUCGCAACAGCAGUGCCACGGUUCAGUUCAGCAUGGGGACCAACUACCUCUACAAUGUCCACUCCUAUUGGUCUCUGACCUGUCAAACAAGAAGAGAUGGUGCAGCUAGCUGCUGAAAAGGAGAUGACCGUGGUCCUAUUGACAAGAGGAGAUGACGAAGACGCAGCAGACCAAGCCUUUGCGUUCUCCAGUCUCAUGCACAAGGAGUUUCGCAAGAUGGCCAAUGUUGUUAGGAACCAGGUCACUCGCAACUACUACAUGGCUGACUUGACCAAACCCGCUCUUGCAAGACUUCAAUUUACUGCAACCUGGUAAUUUUUUUUUUUUUGAAAAGGAGGUUACUGCAACCUGGUAAAUGAUGAGUAUAAUGAAUGAUGCGCUCAUUACACUGGUUGUGCUAGUAGGUUCAACAUUUGUACCGCAUGACUAUGUUUCCAGAAUUGAUUG